rnacentral:misc_RNA from 1 species
GAUGAAGAACGCAGCGAAAUGCGAUAAGUAAUGUGAAUUGCAGAAUUCAGUGAAUCAUCGAAUCUUUGAACGCACAUUGCGCCCCUUGGUAUUCCGAGGGGCAUGCCUGUUCGAGCGUCAUUAUAACCCCUCAAGCUCAGCUUGGUGUUGGGGCCUGCUGCACUGGCAGCCCUUAAAAUCAGUGGCGGCGCCAUCUGGCUCUAAGCGUAGUAAUUUUUCUCGCUAUGGAGUCCUGGUGGAUGCUUGCCAUCAACCCCCAAUUUUUCUAUGGUUGACCUCGGAUCAGGUAGGGAUACCCGCUGAACUUAAGCAUAUCAAUAAGCGGAGGA